AGAGUUUGAUCAUGGCUCAGAUUGAACGCUAGCGGGAUGCUUUACACAUGCAAGUCGAACGGCAGCACAAAGGAACUUGUUCCUUGGGUGGCGAGUGGCGGACGGGUGAGUAAUGUAUCGGAACGUGCCCAGUAGUGGGGGAUAACUACGCGAAAGCGUGGCUAAUACCGCAUAUUCUCUACGGAGGAAAGGGGGGGAUCAUUUGACCUCUCGCUAUUGGAGCGGCCGAUAUUAGAUUAGCUAGUUGGUGGGGUAACGGCCUACCAAGGCGAUGAUCUAUAGCUGGUUUGAGAGGACGACCAGCCACACUGGGACUGAGACACGGCCCAGACUCCUACGGGAGGCAGCAGUGGGGAAUUUUCGACAAUGGGGGGAACCCUGAUCGAGCCAUCCCGCGUGUGGGACGAAGGCCUUCGGGUUGUAAACCACUUUUCUCAACGAAGAAAAGCCUUAGACUAAUACUCUGAGGUGCUGACGGUAGUUGAGGAAUAAGCACCGGCUAACUAUGUGCCAGCAGCCGCGGUAAUACAUAGGGUGCAAGCGUUAAUCGGAAUUACUGGGCGUAAAGGGUGCGCAGGCGGCUUGGAAAGAACGGUGUGAAAUCCCGGGGCUCAACCCCGGAACUGCACUAUUAACUAUCAAGCUAGAGUAUGUCAGAGGGGGGUGGAAUUCCGCGUGUAGCAGUGAAAUGCGUAGAUAUGCGGAGGAACACCAAUGGCGAAGGCAGCCCCCUGGGAUAAUACUGACGCUCAGGCACGAAAGCGUGGGUAGCAAACAGGAUUAGAUACCCUGGUAGUCCACGCCCUAAACGAUGUCAACUAGCUGUUGGGCCGGUUACGGCUUAGUAGCGCAGCUAACGCGUGAAGUUGACCGCCUGGGGACUACGGUCGCAAGGCUAAAACUCAAAGGAAUUGACGGGGACC
rnacentral:rRNA from 1 species